AUUGAACGCUGGCGGCAGGCCUAACACAUGCAAGUCGAACGAGUGGCGGACGGGUGAGUAAUGUCUGGGAAACUGCCUGAUGGAGGGGGAUAACUACUGGAAACGGUAGCUAAUACCGCAUACCAUCGGAUGUGCCCAGUUGGGAUUAGCUAGUAGGUGGGGUAACGGCUCACCUAGGCGACGCUCCCUAGCUGGUCUGAGAGGAUGACCAGCCACACGGGAACGAGGACACGUUCCAGACCCCUACGGGAGGCAGCAGUGGGGAAUAUUGCACAAUGGGCGCAAGCCUGAUGCAGCCAUGCCGGGUGUAUGAAGAAGGCCUUCGGGUGGUAAAGUACUUUAAGCGGGGAGGCGUUACCCGCAGAAGAAGCACCGGCUAACUCCGUGCCAGCAGCGCGGUAAUUC
rnacentral:rRNA from 1 species